UGAAAGUCAUUUGUGAUUGAGACUCCCAAUGAGAUCAAAGGGGUUCUCAUGUGCACCGAUUUCAGGAAGCAUUUAACAAGUAUUUAUUGAGUGGCUCCUGUGUCCUAGUCAUGGUUUAUCCAUAUGUACAUUUUGGUACGUGAAAAAUCUACCUGAUAAAAGCAAUCAAAGACAGAUGUCAGCUAAAUCGAGGUGCUUAAAUUUCUUUGUGUUCCAGCUAAUGGGCAGUGUGAUGUGGUGGAAACUGUCCCGGUAGGAAAAACCUAGCUGUGGGCCUUGUGCACAUCCCUUCCUUCAUCUACAAUCUCAGGGCAUUGGCCUGAUAAUCUGGAAAAUCUCUGCCCAUAUUCUAUAAUUCUACUGCAGUCCAGAAUGCAUAAUUCUGCCACACGUCAAAAGACUACAAGAAAGAAUUUGUAAUUAAUGGACAACUGUGGGAUAUUUGUUUCCCUUCUGCAUUAGAAAUAUAAUCAAAGAUUCUACAUUUUAGGAGAGAGAGAGUCUGGCUGGCAAAGUUUGCCUCAGCCAAGUGCCUGCCCCUUUGAUGUAUCCACGCAGUGAGGGUCGGAAUCUGGCCACUGGAGCCUGGAGGAGACGCCUGAGCUUCCACAGCAAAAGAGCAGGUGGACAUAAGCCAUGACAGUAAUGAGGGAGUGCAGAAAUAGCACCAGGAAGACAAAGGCUCUGGAUUCAAGGCUGCGAUUGGUGAACCAAAGCAGAAGAAGCAUCAACUAUACAACAACACAAAUCAUCAGGAACAAAUAAUUUGAUUCAUUGUGGCAGACUUACUAAAUUAAGGAAGUGAAUCAUAUUGGAAUACAGAAAAAUUCAAAGCAUUCAGAUGCACUGAAAGUUAAAUGUAAUUUUCAUAGAAUUAAAUAUGUGGUAGAUUAUUUUUAACAAUGCCAGAAUUAUGUUUUGUCUUUUACAUAAGCUUUAUUAAAACAACCCCAUAUGCAAAUCAUUAACAUGAAAUCGAUGGAGCUAUUCAGGUCUCUUUUAGGUAUGACUUCCUAGGACUCAGCUUGCAGCCAAAAUUUCCAGAAACAUUUCAUUUUAGUGACUGCUACCCAUUAUAACACUGGUAAUUAAUUCUUUUGGAGUUACUUCAGAUUAAGUUAAAUCACAUAAAAUUCAGCUCUUGAAGAAGAAUAAUGACAUUCUCAAAAAUAUACUAAUAAAUAUUGCCUCUAAAUAAGAUGACCUAAUAUCUCAAAGAUACUGUUAAUAUUAAUAUUGACAAAGGGGGAAAAUGUACUAGUAUAUAAUAACAGCUUUAAAAACCUUUAUAUAUAUAUUGUUCCCAUAAUAUUACUUAUAAGAGUUUAUCUUAAGGCAAGAUUUGGAGAUUGUCUUAGAAAAUAUUACUGGUAAUUUAUUUGCUAAACUGGAGAUUUUGUUCAUAAAUGUUUGUAGAAAAGGUCUUGAAUUCAAUAGAGAAGUUCCAUCCCUUAUUUUUAUAUUUGAGUCUCAAGAUCUUAUGGAAUAUCA
rnacentral:lncRNA from 1 species